CAAUAGCGUAUAUUAAAGUUGUUGCAGUUAAAAAGCUCGUAGUUGGACCUUGGACCUGGACAGGCGGUCCGCCUCACGGCGUGUACUGUCUUGCUGGGUCUUUCCUCUUGGUGAUCUGUUGUUUCGGCAGCAGGGAACCAGGACUUUUACUUUGAAAAAAUUAGAGUGUUCAAAGCAGGCUCGACGCCGGAAUAUAUUAGCAUGGAAUAAUAAAAUAGGACGUGCGGUUCUAUUUUGUUGGUUUUUGGAAUCGCCGUAAUGAUUAAUAGGGACAGUCGGGGGCAUUAGUACUCACAUGCUAGAGGUGAAAUUCUUGGAUUUUGUGAAGACUAGCUUCUGCGAAAGCAUUUGCCAAGGAUGUUUUCAUUAA
rnacentral:rRNA from 1 species